AUUGAACGCUGGCGGCAGGCCUAACACAUGCAAGUCGAGCGAGCGGCGGACGGGUGAGUAAUGUCUGGGAAACUGCCUGCUGGAGGGGGAUAACUACUGGAAACGGUAGCUAAUACCGCAUACCAUCAGAUGUGCCCAGCUGGGAUUAGCUAGUAGGUGGGGUAAUGGCUCACCUAGGCGACGAUCCCUAGCUGGUCUGAGAGGAUGACCAGCCACACGGCAACGGAGACACGGUCCAAACUCCUACGGGAGGCAGCGGUGGGGAAUAUGGGACAAUGGGCGCAAGCGUGAUGCGUCCAUGCCGCGUGUGUGAAUAGGGCCUUCGGGUUGUAGAGCACUUUCAGCUGGGAGGCGUUACCCGCAGAAGAAGCACCGGCUAACUCCGUGCCAGCAGCCGCGGUAAUUC
rnacentral:rRNA from 1 species